rnacentral:rRNA from 1 species
CUCACCUACGGGGCGCAGCAGUGGGGGAUAUUGGACAAUGGGGGAAACCCUGAUCCAGCGACGCCGCGUGAGUGAAGAAGUAUUUCGGUAUGUAAAGCCCUAUCAGCAGGGAAGAACAAUGACGGUACCUGACUAAGAAGCACCGGCUAAAUACGUGCCAGCAGCCGCGGUAAUACGUAUGGUGCAAGCGUUAUCCGGAUUUACUGGGUGUAACGGGAGCGCAGGCGGCGCGUUAAGCCUGGUGUGAA